CGGCGGUCAUAGCGAAAGGGAAACGCCCGGUCCCAUUCCGAACCCGGAAGCUAAGCCUUUCAGCGCCGAUGGUACUGCACUGGAGACGGUGUGGGAGAGUAGGACGCCGCCGGACAAACAU
rnacentral:rRNA from 1 species